rnacentral:lncRNA from 1 species
UCUACCUUUUUCAGUUACUAAAUCCAAGACUUACAUUUAUAAUUAUCAACACAAAUAUAGUGCUAUCUGAUUCUUAUACCAACACCAACCAAAUUUUAUCAGAUUUCACAAUAGAUUUCCAGUAAAAAAGACUAACAGAUACAACCUCAUGGCCAUAAUGCCAUAUAUACCAAAUAGAUAUUAUAAGAAACAGUUUAGACUCCAAAGAGUUGGUUUCUUUGUACUUUGCUUCAGUUGAUUCGUGUCUUCCUUAGAGAAUUCCUUUGAAACCCUUAUCAGUAGGCUAAUCAAACACAAGGACGCAAUGCCUUCUGCAUUUGCAAAAUCAGUUCAUAUUUUAGUUGCAAAAUUGCAUUUAGGGACUAGUGUCAUUAAAGCAAAAUAGAUAAUAUCAAUGCCAUAUAUUAUGAAUGAAAUUUUAUAUUUAAAUUGCAUUUAAGGCAACAACGAGCUUUCACAUUAAGGCAUCAUCCAACAUUUUGAGCCACCAAGACAAUCUAUUACAAAAAUCAAGGAACAAAGUAUAUCCAUCGAAUUUGAGUUAGACAUCUCAUGUAUACCAUACCACUAGUGACAGUUUCACAAUUAGGGUCACAAAAAGACAAUAAACACCAACCACGUUUUGAAUAAAAUUCCAUAUUAAAAUUGCUUUGCUUUGAAAGCCUCCAUCCAACUUUUCCAUUAUGAAUAGAGAAUUCAUAAUUCAUUUUCCAUGAAGGGACAAGGGUCAUUAAGGUCAGCCAACAUUUUACUUUAUAGUCAUCGAGACAUCUAUGAUCUAUCCGUUAAAAUUUUUAUAAAACAUAGUAUAUUCAUCGACUCCAUAGUAUCGCAUCCAUCUGUUACUCUAUAGUCAUUGGGGUAACAACUAUCUUUCACAUUAAGGCAUCAGUCAACAUUAGGGACAAGGGUCAUUAAGUUCAUAAUGCAAAAUUACUUCUAGUUGCAGUUGCAGAAUUGAAUUUAGGGACUAAGGGUCAUCAAAACAGAAUACAUAUCCAUUCAUGCAUUAUUAUAAAUAAAAAUUCAUAAUUUUUUUAAUAGAAAAGCGGACACCGAUAGAGACAAUUGCUUGAGUAGCAAUUAAAGCAACAACUAGCUUUCAUAUUCAGGGACUAGGGUCAAUAAGUUCAUCCAACAUUUUACUCUAUGGUAAUUGAGGCAUCUAUGAUCCAUCCGUUACAAAAUUUAUAAGACAAAGUAUAUUCAUCGAUUCCAACUUUCACAUUCCCUGGCAAAACUUAUGAAACAUUAGGGAUAUUAAGUUCAUACUGCAAAAUCACUUCUAAUUGCAUUUGCAGAAUUGAAUUCGUGAGUAUCUGAAUCUCCAAAAUGGAAGCCACAAAUAAAUCAGACUACACAGUUAUUUAAUUCUUAAUUGAUGUUCGAAUUAUAGGUAGGAGAUAUUAUGAGAGAUUUAGGCAUUUUGAUUCUCCAAUGAUAUAUAAAACAACAUAACUCAGCUAGACUCUAAAUCCUGGAAACUGCACCAAGUUUGAAAUAAGUCACUAAGUUUUCAUUCUCAGGAAGACGGUGUAGAAAAGAAACUGAUUUAGUGCGGUCCAAACAGUAAUUAUCAUAGAUUUUACCAAGUUUUCAAAAAAAAAAACUUAGAUUUUGCACAAUUUCAUGGAUGGAUUAUUGUAUACAAUGAUUACCAGACUACUAACUUGCUAAACUGAUUAUUAUCAGAACUACAGAAUGAUGCCUAUAUUUAAUGUGCCGAGUCAGCACUUGCAUCGGUUGGUGAGUUGAGUAACAGAAUAUCAAAUUUUGUUACAGAGUUUAAUUCAGGACUUAACUCUCAAGUAACUAACUGGUUCUGUAAUCAGUUAGAUUACUCUCCAGAAACAGGGAUUUGAGUAAAUAAUUAGAAACAUAGGAACCUGGAAGAAACCUUCCAAAUAUAAAGAUAAUAAUUUCCCAUUGACUCUAAUAUCACUCCAAAUUUUCAGAAACAGGGAUUUGAGUAAAAUAAUUAGAAACAUAGGAACAUGUGGGAUGGUCCACGGUUUGGUUUUGUUGUUGUAUAUCAGUUAUUUGCAAAGCCAACUUUAUCAAUUCCGCAAUAGGUUAAUGUCAAAUGAUCCUCAAUUAAGCAAAUAACCCUGUAGAAGUUAUGGGCUGAGAGGUUAAUAAUAACUUAAUAAGCAAAUGUUAAUAUACUCAUCAUAGUUCUUACGUAGAAAAUUAUGCCAUUCUAAGCUCAAAAGUAAAGUGUUUAUAAUAACAUCGCAACAAGGAUAAAUUGCACAUAUAAACCUUAGUAAGAAGCCUCAAAUUGUAUACCUAAUAUUCAUAUUAUCCUGCACCGGAGAUAUUUCUGCAGAGGUUCCAUCACUACACUCCAGUUCAUCAGUAAAGAUUGUUGCAAUGGAAAGGACGAAUAAUGGUCUUGAUAGUACCUGGUAGCAGAGAGAGUAUUAACCAUCUGCUUCAUGUAUUGAGCUGAAUUUGGGAUAGUAGAAGGAGAAAAAACAGAAACAACUUGACAGAAAAGUAAGGGAGCUUGUUAAUCAAUUCCGUUCUCCACUACUUAACCUUUACAGGAAAAGGGUCUAGGAAAUAUCAUAUUGUAUAUCUUAUAAUAGCCAAAUAUGAAAUAAUACUGUAAGAAGAAGAAUCUCACUGGUCAAGGGAAUGUCACAAAUUCAAUAAAAAUGUAUGAUACAUAGAAGUAACCCACAUAAAACUUUCUGGAACAAAGAUUGACUAGAAGUACACAAAUACCAAUGAUAUAGCCAUUUUCUGGAAGUACACAAAUAACAAAGAUUGACUAGAAGUACACAAAUACUGAUGGUUAUCCUGACAUAACAUUUUUCUGCUUUGAAAUGUCCUGCUAUAUAAACAUAAAUAUGUAUUGAAACCAUAUUGAAUUGAUAAUCACAAACCUGCAUGCUUUUGACCAAACCCCUGAAGGCAACCCACCUCUGAAUCCAUUUAAAUUGUGGUAGGACAAGGAUUUGUAGACUCUGCAGACCUUGCCACACACAUGGGCAUCUACUAUUGGAGAACCUCCUUACAGUCUAUAAAGCAGCAACUUUAAGUAAAAAAAAAUUGGCAUGCCCCACAGCCUUGCUUCCAAAGUCACCAUCCCUCAAUGAAACAAGGGGUUCACAAUAUCUUUGUGCAAAGCCUAUAGGACGUGAUGCACUCAUACAUACCAGAUCGAUAUUAUAAGAAAUAGUUUAUACUCCAAAGAGUUCGUUUCUUUGUACUUUGUUCCUUAGAAUUCCUUUGAAACUCUUAUUAUAGUAGACUAAUCAAACACAAAGAAUUCACUCUACGGUCAUUGAGGCAUCCAUGAUCCAUCCGUAACAAAAUUUAAUCGAACUUAGGGACUAAGGGUCAUCAAAGCAGAAUAUAUACCCAUUCAUGCAUUAUUAUGAAUAAAAAUUCAUAAUUUUUUUAAUCGAAAAGCGGACAACGAUAGAGACAAUUGCUUGAGUAGCAAUUAAGGCAACAACUAUCUUUCACAUUCAGGGACUAGGGUCAUUAAGACCAUCGACAAUUCACUCUAUGGUCAUUGAGGCAUCCAUGAUCCAUCCGUAACAAAAUUUAAUCGAACUUAGGGACUAAGGGUCAUCAAAGCAGAAUAUAUACUCAUUCAUGCAUUAUUAUGAAUAAAAAUUCAUAAUUUUUUUAAUCGAAAAGCGGACAACGAUAGAAACAAUUGCUAGCAAUUAAGGCAACAACUACCUUUCACAUUCAGGGACUAAGGGUCAUUAAAUCCAUCCAACAUUUAAGAUUCUUUUGGGACAAAACAGAACACCUUUUGCAGAAUUAAGGUUGUUUUGUUUUUCUCAAGCAGAAGAUUGAAUGUUCUUGAAUGAUCAAGAAUGAGAAAAAUGGGUAAAGUUGUACCUCUUUUUCGAGCAAAAUCACUUCUGAUUGCAGUCGCAGAAUCGAAUUUAGGGACUAAGGGUCAUCAAAGCAGAAUAUAUACCCGUUCAUGCAUUAUUACGAAUAAAAAUUCAUAAUUUUUUAAUCGAAAAGCGGACACCGAUAGAGACAAUUGCUUGAGUAGCAAUUAAGGCAACAACUACCUUUCACAUUCAGGGACUAAGGGUCAUUAAAUCCAUCCAACAUUUUACUCUGUUAAUUGAGGCAUCUAUGAUCUAUCCGUUACAAAAUUUACAAAACAAAGUAUAUUCAUCGAUUCCAACCGUCAAAUUUAGGGUCACUAGGGCAAUAUACUCCACCCUUUUUUCAGAUAAUGAAUAAAGAUUCCGUCACACAAUGAUUCACAUUCUUAUAGGGUUUUUAUACCCUUUAAAAUUGGAAACCCACCAUCGUUCCUAACAAGUAUCGAUUAUAAACCGAGUUAAACUCAGCUUAAUGUGACAAACAAAAAACUGUCUUUUAAGAUUCUUUUGGGACAGAACAGAACACCUUUUGCAGAAUUAGGGUUCUUUUGUUUUUCUCAAGCAGAAGAUUGAAUGAUCAAGAAUGAGAAUAAAUUGGGUAAAGUUUGUACCUUUUUUCAAGCAUAAAAUUGAAUGUUCAAACAGAAAGAACACCUUUGAUCAAUUAACGUUCUUUUGGCCAUUUUGCCAUGGCUGACCAAGCUCCUCUUCAACUAGAGCCAUAGCCACAUCAUCUGCAAAUGAAGGAACCUUCACAUUUUAUGGAAUCCCCCCACACCCCCACCAAGAAAAAGGAACCUCAGAAAAAGAAUAAGCUUACAAUAUCAGAAAUGAAAAUGCAAUUGUGCAACUGCUAAUAAUUUCCAGUGUUUACUAAAACAUCAGACUACAAUUCUUGUAAGUAGGAAGAAUAAUGGUCUUGAUAGUACGUGGUAGCAGAGAGAGUAUUAAUUCUGGGAUGCAAAUAUAUUGAAAUGAAAGUUUCAAAAUUUACAGUAACAAACAAAAGGGUCAUGGGACAGAAAGAACACCUUUGCUCAAUUAACGUUCUUUUGUUUUGUUUUUAUGAAGCAAAAUCGAAUUAAGGGACUAAGGGUCAUCAAAGUAUAAUAUAUACCCAUUCAUUCAUGCAUUAUUAUGAAUAAAAAUUCUUAAUUUUUUCAAUCGAAAAGCGGACUCCGAUAGAGACAAUUGCUCGAGUAGCAAUUAAGGCAACAACUACCUUUCACAUUGAGGGACUAGGGUCAUUAAGACCAUCCAACAUUUCACUCUAUGGUCAUUGAGGCAGCCAUGAUCCAUCCGUUACAAAACUUACAAAACAAAGUAUAUUCAUCGAUUCCAACGAUCAAAUUUAGGGUCACUAGGGCAAUAUACUCCACCCCUUUUUUAGAUAAUGAAAAAGAUUCCGUCACACAAUGAUUCACAUUCUUAUAGGGUUUUUAUACCCUUUAAAAUUGGAAACCCGCCAUCAUUCCCAACAUGUAUCGAUUAUAAACCAGAUGGGGCAAAUAUGUUAGAAUGAAAAUUCCAAAAACAAGUGAAACUCAGCUUAUUGUGACAAACAAAAAACUGUCUUUUGAUAUAUACCCAUUCAUGCAGUUGCAGAAUCAAAUUUAGGGACUAAGGGUCAUCAAAGCAGAAUAUAUACCCAUUCAUGCAAUAUUACGAAUAAAAAUUCAUAAUUUUUUUUAAUCGAAAAGCGGACACCGAUAGAGACAAUUGCUUAUAUAGCAAUUAAGGCAACAACUACCUUUCACAUUCAGGGACUAAGGGUCAUUAAAUCCAUCCAACAUUUUACUCUAUGUUAAUUGAGGCAUCUAUGAUCCAACCGUCAAAUUUAGGGUCACUAGGGUAAUAUACUCCACCCCUUUUUCAGAUAAUGAAUAAAGAUUCCGUCACACAAUGAUUCACAUUCUUAUACGCCCUUUAAAAUUGGAAACCCACCAUCGUUCUCAACAUGUAUCGAUCAUAAAUCAGAAUGAAAAUUCCAAUAACAAGUAAAACUCAGCUUAUUGUGACAAACAAAAAACUGUCUUUUAAGAUUUUUUUGGGACAGAACAGAACACCUUUUGCAGAAUUAGGGUUCUUUUGUUUUUCUCAAGAAUGAGAAAAAAAAUGGGUAAAGUUUGUACCUUUUUUCAAGCAUAAAAUUGAAUGUUCAAACAGAAAGAACAAUUAAGGUUUCUUUUGUUUUGUUUUUAUGAAGCAGAAGAUUGAAUUUCGAAAAUGGGUAUCUGAAUGAAUCAACAUGUGGGGAGAAAGUUGAAAAAAUUACCGUAGCAAACAGAAGAGAUUAUCAGCAAAUUACCAUCGCAGGUUCUUGAAUCCUUGUGCGACACACCCAACACCAUUGAAUUCCACGUUGUGUGUUGUUCGUGUUUUCAUUCUUUUCUUGUUUCUUGAAGAAGAAAGAAAGAAUGAGUUUUU